rnacentral:rRNA from 1 species
GAUGAACGCUGGCGGCGUGCCUAACACAUGCAAGUCGAGCGAACAGACGAGGAGCUUGCGCCUCCGACGUUAGCGGCGGACGGGAGAGUAACACGUGGAUAACCUACCUAUAAGACUGGGAUAACAACGGGAAACCGGAGCUAAUACCGGAUAAUAUAUUGAACCGCAUGGUUCAAUAGUGAAAGACGGUUUUGCUGUCACUUAUAGAUGGAUCCGCGCCGCAUUAGUUAGUUGGUAAGGUAACGGCUUACCAAGGAAACGAUGCGUAGCCGUCCUGAGAGGGUGGUCCGCCACCUGGUAUCUGAGACUCGGCCCACACUCUUGCGCUGGGCCGCAGUCCGGACUCCUCCGCGAUGGGCGAGUGCUUGACCUUGCGCCGCCGCGUGAGUGCUGACGGUCCUCGGAUCGUAGAACUCUGUUAUUAGUGGAGUUCAAAUGUGUUUGAAACUAUGCACGUCUUGACGGUACCUAGUCAGAAAGCCCCGGCUAACUACGUG